UAUUCUUGUACACAGAAACAAUGGAGGACAAGCCAGCACUAGACGAGCUACCAACUCACGUAGACGUUGGUACAGAGUGGCUGAGACUAGGGGUACUACUGGAACUGGAUAUGAAAGAUCUAACCGCCAUAGAACAUGAGAGACUCACCAAAGACUACAUGUACGCCCUCUGGUUGAAGACCAAUCCUUAAGGCCUUCAUACACGAGGCGACUUGUUGCCAGGAACCAAGCAACAUGUUGCCAAAAAUAGAACAUCUUUCUAUUUCUGGCAACAUGUUGCUUACAAGAUCAAAGUAACCACAGAAGUUGCUAGCAACAUGUUGCCUAGUGUAUGGAGGCCUUAACGCUACAAAAGGACAACUGAUCAAAGCCUUAGGAGUCAUUAGAGCUAAUACUUUAGCUGAUAAAUACAAGAAAUGGAUUAGUAGUACUGGCAGAGCUACUGCUACUAGUAAAGACACUAAUGCAAGAAGACACUCCUUCACUCAGUAAACAAACUACAGCUCAACAGUCACUUGAUAUCACUGAUCUUCAAAAAGUGUUGAAUUUGCUGGAAGAUGCUCAUUUCAACGGAGACUGGGAGGGACUGGGUCUAGAACUAGGACUCUAUCAGCACCCAACACUCUCCAACUUACAACAUACUCAUGAUAGGGAGGCUGCUCUUAGGGAGUGUCUUGCUGUCUGGUUGCAAAGAGCUGAUAGUGUGGAUAAAAAUGGAGGAGCUAACUAUGUAUCACUAGCUAAUGGUGUAGAGAGAUUGGGACAAAGAGCUGCAGCUGAUGACAUAUGAAGACAAUGUGGAAUUGAAACAGCAGAAGAGGAUGCCCUUGUCAUUGAGACUGGAGGGAGGAGCCCAGUGACUCCAUUACUAGUACAGGAAG